rnacentral:rRNA from 1 species
UACGUAGGGUGCAAGCGUUAUCCGGAUUCACUGGGUUUAAAGGGCGCGUAGGUGGAUCGGUAAGUCCGUGGUGAAAUCCCCGAGCUUAACUCGGAAACUGCCAUUGAUACUAUCUGUCUUGAAUAUCCUGGAGGUGAGCGGAAUAUGUCAUGUAGCGGUGAAAUGCUUAGAUAUGACAUAGAACACCAAUUGCGAAGGCAGCUCACUGCGGGAUUAUUGACACUGAGGCACGAAAGCGUGGGGAGCAAACAGG